UACGUAGGGUGCGAGCGUUGUCCGGAAUUAUUGGGCGUAAAGAGCUCGUAGGCGGUGUGUCGCGUCGGCCGUGAAAACCUGCAGCUUAACUGUGGGCUUGCGGUCGAUACGGGCAUCACUGGAGUUCGGCAGGGGAGACUGGAAUUCCUGGUGUAGCGGUGAAAUGCGCAGAUAUCAGGAGGAACACCGGUGGCGAAGGCGGCUACCUGGCCUAAUACUGACACUGAGGCACGAAAGCGUGGGGAGCAAACAGG
rnacentral:rRNA from 1 species